ensembl:snRNA U2 U2 spliceosomal RNA
AUCGCUUCUCGGCCUUUUGGCUAAGAUCAAGUGUAGUAUCUGUUCUUAUCAGUUUAAUAUCUGAUACGUCCCCUAUCCGGGGGGACCAUAUAUUAAAUUGAUUUUUGCAAUGAGGUGAUGGAAUAUGGGGCUUGCUCCGUCCACUCCACGCAUCGACCCGGUAUUGCAGUAUCUCCGGGAACGGUGCACGUCCA